rnacentral:rRNA from 1 species
UACGAAGGGGGCUAGCGUUGCUCGGAAUUACUGGGCGUAAAGGGCGCGUAGGCGGCUUAGUGAGUCAGGCGUGAAAUUCCUGGGCUUAACCUGGGGACUGCGCUUGAUACUGCUGGGCUUGAGGCCGAGAGAGGGUGGUGGAAUUCCCAGUGUAGAGGUGAAAUUCGUAGAUAUUGGGAAGAACACCGGUGGCGAAGGCGACCACCUGGCUCGGUACUGACGCUGAGGCGCGACAGCGUGGGGAGCAAACAGGAUUAGAUACCCUGGUAGUCCACGCCGUAAACGAUGUGCGCUGGAUGUUGGGGCUCCUAGAGCCUCAGUGUCGUAGCUAACGCGGUAAGCGCACCGCCUGGGGAGUACGGCCGCAAGGUUGAA